rnacentral:pre_miRNA from 1 species
GAAGGUACCCUGAUGCAUUUAUUUCCUACCGUUGGUCGAUGUAGAACGGUUUUAGGUGUUCCGGUUCUACAUCGGCCAACGGUAGGAAGGAAAUUGCAUCAGGGUACCUAC